GAUGAACGCUGGCGGCGUGCCUAAUACAUGCAAGUCGAGCGAACAGACGAGGAGCUUGCUCCUCUGACGUUAGCGGCGGACGGGUGAGUAACACGUGGAUAACCUACCUAUAAGACUGGGAUAACUUCGGGAAACCGGAGCUAAUACCGGAUAAUAUAUUGAACCGCAUGGUUCAAUAGUGAAAGACGGUUUUGCUGUCACUUAUAGAUGGAUCCGCGCCGCAUUAGCUAGUUGGUAAGGUAACGGCUUACCAAGGCAACGAUGCGUAGCCGACCUGAGAGGGGGAUCGGCCACACUGGAACUGAGACACGGUCCAGACUCUUACGGGAGGCAGCAGUAGGGAAUCUUCCGCAAUGGGCGAAAGCCUGACGGAGCAACGCCGCGUGAGUGAUGAAGGUCUUCGGAUCGUAAAACUCUGUUAUUAGGGAAGAACAAAUGUGUAAGUAACUAUGCACGUCUUGACGGUACCUAAUCAGAAAGCCACGGCUAACUACGUG
rnacentral:rRNA from 1 species